UUUUACUAUUUCAGAUUUAAAUUGUUUUUCUUCCGCAAAUUGGUUUAUCUUUCGCAUUUUUAGGCUUACUUUGUCGUAGAGACUGGGUGCCGUCACGAUAGUUCACGAAGGGCGAACCGGGGUCAUGACAGAAGGGUUACCUCUUGGACUACAAAAUACUUGUCUUAUGCAGGGUGAGUCAGCUUAUUGAAAGUAUUUUAUUUUCUGUACAGGCUUUCUGGUCACAAAUUUUUGUAUUACCUAAAAAGAUUAUUACAUUGGUUGAGACUGCAUGUACGAAGUUUUUGUGGACGGGUGGAAAUGACUUAAGCAUGAAAUUUUUAUUAUCUUGGGACAAAGUGUGUUUACCUAAGUCGACUGGUGGACUAAAUGUGAUAGAUAUAGCAUUAUGGAAUAAAGUAGCAAUUUGUAAGCAUUACUGGAAUCUCCGUAAGAAGAAAGAUAGACUAUAAAUUCAAUAGUUUACAUACUUAUUACAUAAAAAGAAAACCUUUUUGGGGAAUAUAUGCUAAAAAACAUUGUGGAUGGUGAACAAAUUCCUUAAAGCUAAAGAGUUCUUGGAGCAAGCAGGCAUUUCAUUUGAUGAGCUAAUGAAGAUACAACAGUUCUUUAUUAGGGAGCUGUAUAUAAAGCUAAGAGGGGAGUUUCAAAAGGUUCCAUGUAAUAGAGUAGUUUAUAAUAAUAUGGAAUGUCCAAAAUGGAUCUUUUUGCUUAGAAUGGUGGCCCAUGAAAGGUUAUAAACCAGAGAUAGACCGGUAAAAUGGGGAGUGACGAGUAAUAUUAUAUGUCCUUUAUGUGAUGUAGAAGUUGAAUCUGUAAUCCACUUAUUCUUCAAGUGCUCAUUUGCUGCUUCAAUAUGGAAUCAAUUGCUAAGAUGGUAGGGUGUGGAUAGACAAGCAAUGGGGUAGGUGGAUGAGAAAGCUUGGGCGAUCUAGUUCAUGAAUGGUAAAAAUGACAAGGCAGAGAUCUAUAGAAUGAGUUUGGCUGGAUGUGCAUAGUAUGUCUAGCAAGAAAGGAACCAACGGCUAUUUCAAGGUAGAAGGAGAGAAGAUGCUACUCUGGUGAGACAUAUUGUUCAAGAUGUACAUGUUCGAGGUGCAAGCAGUAGCAGAAUAGCAGGUCAUUUAAACAGAAUAAAUUACUAUCCUUAGUUGCUGCUAGUUAUGAAUGUAGUAGUUAUGACUGUUAUAAAUUUUGAAGCUUUGUAGUUGGGUAGAUCAUAGAGAGGGGCAUUCUUGCCUACACUGAGGGAUUUUUAGAAUUGCUUGUAAAUACUUCUUUUUCAC
rnacentral:lncRNA from 1 species